CUGGAUGGCGUUUCUUAUUGUGGGACCUGGGUGAGCAACCGGGAGCAGGGUGGGAGCCCAGGACACCUGGCACUGUUUGGUGAGGGAGGAGCCCCCUGCCUUUGGUGAUCUGAAGGGUCCAUGUCCUGCAACCUGAGGAGGCUUCCCGCAGACUUCUGAAGAAAACUAUGAGGACAUCUUUCCUAGCUACUGUUGGCUGUGAAGUUCCAGGGCAGUUACGGCAACCUCAAUUGGUUUCCCAACAUUCCAAGUGCAAGUCUUGGGUCCACCACACCGUGCCUCACCCGGGGUUAUCUGAUUCCAGAGAUCAUAUCAUUCUCAGGCAUCCCAGCUCUGAUGUCUAUCCAUGUGCCCACCUAAUAGCAAAGAAAAACUCCCAUCUACCAGUAAAGGUGAGAGGAAUAAAUAUGGAAGGCUUCCUGGAGGAGGGUAUGACUGAACUGGGUCUGGAUAAAUUGGGUGAGCCAGAUUUCAAAAAUCAGAAAUGUUAGGAAGCAAAAAUUAAGGUAACGCAAAGGCAGAUAUGGGCAUUGAGGUAUGGCACACGGAAUAACAAGCAAUUACAGUAUGAACUGGACCUUGAGGUAUGGGCAGUUUCCUCCUCUAAACGUGGAGAGAGUGGACAGUUUCCCUGUCUAUCAUCUCAGAUCCUCCAAUGAUGUUGUUGAAGGCAGGGCCAUAAACUGGCAAAGAAGACCUACCACGUGACCAUUAACGGAUAGAUUGUACAACUGGGCUUCUAUAAGCAGUUCCCCACCCAGAUGUGGGAACUGGGUGGCUGCCUACGGUGAUCACAUAAGUAUGUGAUGGUAACAGACGUGUCCUAUGAGCUUCUGGAUAAAUGACAGUGAAAGCUACGCUGGCCUCAGUGUUAUACUUUAUAUACCAACAUGGUGAGUUUUUCAGAUGAUUUUAUUUGUUUAAAUAAAACACCACCCCAGCCCCAUUCAUGAUCAUUGGGUUUUGUGUUGUUUUGAACUUGAAAAUGAGAAACAGUUGGUGUGAAUGGCUGAGCUGGUGUUGGUCUAACAUGGCAGUAGCAUUUGGCUGCUAGAGAGCUAAUUUUCCUUUUAUUUUACAGAGUGGUUGGAUAGACAUUGCUGAGAUGUUUUCAUUUUAAUCUUGGUCUUGGCCAUGUCCAUGAGAUAUCAUAUAAGAUAUUUGUGACCAGAAAAGGAGGAAAGUAACAUGCCAAGAAAUCUGGUGUGGGAUUAGGACAGCUUGUGGCAGCUGCCCUUGCAGCCAGUUUUGCAUUUCAUUUAGCACCAUGUUUAUAUGCUUAAUAUAAUUUUUUUGGUUAAAGUUUAGAAUUGAUCUUCUUCAUAUGUUGUUGUUAUCUUUUUAAAAUGUUUCCUGAUAAUUUCACCAUGAAAAUAAGCAAAUUAUUGUUCAUCUUGUUCACUAACCAUCAGGAAUCAUCUGAAAGUGGUCAUUGAACUCUAGUUUUAAAUUUUUUUCCUAUAAUUUACUUGUGUAUUUAGUAUCAUUUGUAUUCAACAAAAGUGCUCCUUAAAAGUCUGGUGUUGGGCUGGGGUUGUGUAGAGAGCUCAGUAGUAGAGCGCUUGCCUAGCAUGUAUGAGGCACUAGGUUCAAUACUCAGCACCACAUUAAAUAAAUAAAUAAAAUAAAGGUAUUGGGUCUAUCUACAACUAAAAAAUUUUUUUUAAAGUCUGGUGUUAGUUACACUUUAUGAAUAUGAAACAUAGUGGGUUGCUUGGCAAGAACUUGUAGGUUUAAGAUCCUGCAGGGAAUGGAGUUCCCAGGUUUCCUGUUUCUUACGUUAUUUUAUAAUAGAAUGGCAUGGGAUUUUUUUCAUGACAUUGCAAUCACUUGAAUUUGUUUAAUUUUGAUUUGACUUUGUUCUUUAAAUAUUCAUUAAACAAAAAUGUUUUCAGUGUGUGUAUUCUGAAAUGAAUAUUCUGGAUGGGCACUUAAAGUCUUACAAUCACCAUGGAUGCCCUUACUGCUUUUUCACUCCCAAAAUUGAACUCAAUUUGGUGUUUAAUUUUACAUGUUCAUCCUCAUUGUAUUUGAUUAUGUUCUGGUCCUGGGUCUCCUAUAAUGCCUUUGAAUAUUUUUGUGUAAAUUUCAAUUUAUAGAGAGAAAAUUAAUGUUUGUUAGUGUUAGUCAUCUUUCCAUCACUGUGACAAAAUACCUGAGGAAAAAAAUUUAAAGCAGGAAAGAUUUAUCUUGGCUUACAAUUUCAGAGGUUUUAGUCUAUAUUCACUUGGUACUUUUGUUUCUGGGCUUGCGGUGAGGCAAAAUAUCAUGACAGGUGUAGUUGCUCACCUCAUAGUUGCCAGGAAGGAGAGAAACAGAGGAAGGAGUCAGAGAACUAGAUAUACCCUUGUAGUACACGCCCCCAGUGGUCUGCUUCCUCCAACUAGGCCCCACCUCCUAUAGUUUCCACCACCUCACAAUAUUCCAUUCAAAUAUGAACCCAUCAGUUGAUUAAUCCAUGGAUAAGAUAAGAACCCUCAUGAUCCAAUCAUUUCCCAAAAAUCUCACUUCUGAAUAUUGUUGCUUUGGGGACCAAGCCUUCAAUCCAUAAGCAUUUAGGGGACAUUCCAGAUCCAAACCCUAACAUCAUUUGAGUGCUUUUUUCCACAUUAUAAUUUCUUGUGUGAAUUAGUUUUCUUUUAAAAAAUUCUGGUGUUGCUCCUGCUCCAUAAACAUCCUUUUGAAAGCACAUGUUUUGGGAUAAUUUUGAUUUGUAAAUGCAGAACUUAAUUAGUUGACUUAGUUCUUGAUAGUAUACAACAGGGACUGUUCUUAACCAUCUGUCAUCUGCAGUCAUUAUACUGUGGGAUUAUAUUUUGCAGAAGAAUUGUGUAUUUGGUAUAAUUUUAUUCAAUUAAAUGUGAUCCUGGCCCUUUUAGAUAAAACAAUACUUUCUUUAGUUACAUACUGAAGAUAAUAAAAACAUUUUCUAUAUAAACUUAUGAGCUUUCUGAAAUAAAAAUAAAACUAUUACUGCAAUAUGAUCCCACUAUUCCACUACUGGGCACACAUUGAAGUAAAUGCAAUGAGCAUGUUUAAGAGAUUCUUGCUCUCCCGUGUUUUGCAGCCAAGAUAUGGAAUCAGCAUUAGUGUCCAUCAGCACAGGUGAAUAAAGAAAACAUGUAUGUAUACACAACUCAAUACUUCUUGGGAACAGAGAGAAAGAAAUCCUGUCAUUGACAUAACAUGUAUGAAUCUGGAGAACAUUAUAUUAAUUGAAAUACACCAGGCAGGAAAAGAUAAAUACCACAUGAUCUCCCUCAUUUGGGGAAUUUUUAAAAAGUUGAACUAAUAGGAAAAGACAGAGCAGUAGUUACCAGUGGUGGGGGCCAUUAGGAGGUAGUGAGGAGAAGUAUUUGUGAAAGGGUAUUCCAUUUAGAUUAGAGCAGUAUGCGGUAGGGACCUACUAUAUACCACAGUGACUAAAGUAGUGAUCAUAUAUUCUAUUGUUGAAAAUUUUUGAGCUAAUGUUGUGUAUUCUCACUAAAAAUGAUAAAUAAGCUGGGCGCAGUGGUGCUUGCCUGUAAUCCCAGCAGCUCAGGAAGCUGAGGCAGGAGGAUCGUGAGUUCAAAGCCAGCCUCAGUAACACCAAGGCACUAAACAACUCAGUGAGACUCUAUCUCUAAAUAAAAUACAAAAUAGGGCUGGCAUGGUCGAGUGGCCCUGAGUUUAAUCCUUAGUACUCCCCCCAAAAAGAUAAAUAAUGUGGUAAUGCACAUGUUAAUUGUUUAGUUUUAAACAAUGUAUAAUGAAAAAUACUUGUGAACAUUGUAUUGUACACAGUGUGUGUAAAAUUUAAUCUGACAAUUUAAAUAAAUAAAUUGACAACUUAUAAAAAUAAAAAACUUAAAGAUAAAGCUAUUGUUUUCAUUGGCUUUGUGCCUCUUGUUUUAAUGACAGUUACUGGUCUCAAGUUGUCAGCUAGCCUAAACUUUCAUUUUUAUAUUACCAUUAAAUUGUUUCAAUAUCAUU